rnacentral:tRNA from 1 species
AGUAAAAUGUCAGAGUAGGCAUUAGACUGUUAAUCUAAACACAAGGGUUGAAUCCCUUUUUUCCAA